rnacentral:siRNA from 1 species
GUCGGAAAGUGCGCGGGUCGCCUG